GCUUCCAUGGCUCAGUUGGUUAGAGCGCAGGUCUCAUACGGUUCUGUAUGACAUCUCAUUCGAGAUGCAAUCCUGAGGUCGUGAGUUCGACCCUCACUGGGAGCA